AUUGAACGCUGGCGGAAUGCUUUACACAUGCAAGUCGAACGGCAGCACGGGGCAACCUGGUGGCGAGUGGCGAACGGGUGAGUAAUACAUCGGAACGUGCCCAAUCGUGGGGGAUAACGUAGCGAAAGCUACGCUAAUACCGCAUACGAUCUACGGAUGAAAGCGGGGGAUCGCAAGACCUCGCGCGAAUGGAGCGGCCGAUGGCAGAUUAGGUAGUUGGUGGGGUAAAGGCUCACCAAGCCUGCGAUCUGUAGCUGGUCUGAGAGGACGACCAGCCACACUGGAACUGAGACACGGUCCAGACUCCUACGGGAGGCAGCAGUGGGGAAUUUUGGACAAUGGGCGCAAG
rnacentral:rRNA from 1 species